GCUUACGGCCACACCACCCUGAACACGCCCGAUCUCGUCUGAUCUCGGAAGCUAAGCAGGGCCGGGCCUGGUUAGUACUUGGAUGGGAGACCGCCUGGGAAUACCAGGUGCUGUAAGUU
ensembl:rRNA 5S_rRNA 5S ribosomal RNA